rnacentral:sRNA from 1 species
UGACGAGUGGGGACAGCUCAGUCCCAUGAA